rnacentral:rRNA from 1 species
CACUCCUGCGGGAGGCAGCAGUGGGGAAUUUUGGACGAUGGGCGAAAGCCUGAUCCAGCAAUGCCGCGUGUGUGAAGAAGGCCUUCGGGUUGUAAAGCACUUUUGUCCGGAAAGAAAUCCUUGGCUCUAAUACAGUCGGGGGAUGACGGUACCGGAAGAAUAAGCACCGGCUAACUACGUGCCAGCAGCCGCGGUAAUACGUAGGGUGCGAGCGUUAAUCGGAAUUACUGGGCGUAAAGCGUGCGCAGGCGGUUUGCUAAGACCGAUGUGAAAUUCCCGGGCUCAACCUGGGAACUGCAUUGGUGACUGGCAGGCUAGAGUAUGGCAGAGGGGGGUAGAAUUCCACGUGUAGCAGUGAAAUGCGUAGAGAUGUGGAGGAAUACCGAUGGCGAAGGCAGCCCCCUGGGCCAAUACUGACGCUCAUGCACGAAAGCGUGGGGAGCAAACAGGAUUAGAUACCCCUGUAGUCCCA